rnacentral:rRNA from 1 species
AUUGAACGCUGGCGGCAGGCCUAACACAUGCAAGUCGAACGGCAGCACAGAGAGCUUGCUCUCGGGUGACGAGCGGCGGACGGGUGAGUAAUGUCUGGGAAACUGCCUGAUGGCGGGGGAUAACUACUGGAAACGGUAGCUAAUACCGCAUAAUGUCUGCGGACCAAAGCGGGGGACCUCCGGGCCUCGCGCCAUCAGAUGAACCCAGAUGGGAUUAGCUUGUAGGUGAGGUAACGGCUCACCUAGGCGACGAUCCCUAGCUGGUCUGAGAGGAUGACCA